rnacentral:lncRNA from 1 species
GCCUCUAAACGGCGUCGUUUUACAAGCGUCAUAAAAGCCAGAGAAUUUGCUAUUUCAGAAUAAAAAAGAAAAGAAAAAGAUAAAAAAAAACCCUAAGGGUUUCAUUGCCUUCCCAAGCGCCGCUCUCCACCUCGACUCCGAUCAUACCAGAGGAGGACGCGAGCUUCGACGGCGCGGAUGUCAAGGUAAUAUCCCCUCCUUUCUUUGUGAUUUAUCUCAUGCAUAAGAACGCAAAAAAAUAAACGAUGAACCCACAAAAGAAAUUGAAAGUCGUCUCCGCUUCCUCUUUCUUUUUUUGUUACACAAGAUUCAUAAUAAAAAAAUAGAAAAGAAAAAAAACACAGAAAAAGAUGAAAAGAACACCUUCCAAACUCAGUUUUUUUGCUUUUUUCUCUAUUGAUCUCUAUGUGUUUUUUUUUACAAAAUGCCGAAAAAUGGCUUUAUAUCGCCAAAAAUAAAGUGAAAGUUACAAAAGAAAAUCUAUUUCGUUUCUUCUCAUUUUUUUUUGGUUAUUUUCUGCUAUUUUUUUUUUGUUCUUUCUAUUAGCUGGCCUCUUUGUUUUCUGCUUUGCUGUUCCUUUGUUGCAGGUACACGCUUGGAUGGGGACGUGGAGAGGACGCGUGGUGGUAUGGCUCAGCUGCGUACGGAGGCUGGUCACGCGCGGAAGGCUUGGUACGUGGCUAGCGGUGGCUGAGGCAGAUAGUUAUUUUAGGGUUUUGUUUUGAAAAUGUUUUAGGGCUAGGUAUGUGGGUCAAUGAUUUGGGCCUUAUUGGGUAUUAGAAAAUUCGGGUUUGGGCUAUUUUGUAGUUGGGUUUUAGGUUUAAUUUUUUUGGUAGGUAAUUAGGUGGUGUAUUGGGUGAGGUUAAGUGGAUAUUUGGAUUUUAUAUUUUGAUUUAGUUUAUUUAUUUAUAAUUUUGGGCCCGGCAAAUUUGGGCCAUUACAUUGACAAAUGUCAAUGUGAGGCUUAGCCUUGAAACUAAC